GAAACACGGACCAAGGAGUCUAACAUGUGUGCGAGUCACUGGGCGGCAAACCCAGAGGCGGAAUGAAAGUGAAGACCGGCUCGACCGGUUGAUACGGGACCUUCCCUUGAGGGAGCGCACCGUAGCCCCGUCUCGUCCGCUUGUCGGUGGGGCGGAGGAGGAGCAUACACGUUGGGACCCGAAAGAUGGUGAACUAUGCCUGAGCAGGACGAAGCCAGAGGAAACUCUGGUGGAGGUCCGAAGCGGUUCUGACGUGCAAAUCGAUCGUCAGACUUGGGUAUAGGGGCGAAAGACUAAUCGAACCAUCUAGUAGCUG
rnacentral:rRNA from 1 species